rnacentral:rRNA from 1 species
UACAGAGGGUGCGAGCGUUGUUCGGAAUUAUUGGGCGUAAAGGGCGCGUAGGCGGUGCGGUAAGUCACCUGUGAAAUCUCCUGGCUCAACUGGGAGCUUGCAGGCGAAACUGCCGUGCUGGAGUGUGGGAGAGGUGAGUGGAAUUCCCGGUGUAGCGGUGAAAUGCGUAAAUAUCGGGAGGAACACCUGUGGCGAAAGCGGCUCACUGGACCACAACUGACGCUGAGGCGCGAAAGCGUGGGGAGCAAACAGG